GCCUAGCCAUAAACAUUGGUAGUACCCUACACUCACUACCCGCCUGGGAACUACGAGCAUUAGCUUGAAACCCAAAGGACUUGGCGGUGCUUUAGAUCCCCCUAGAGGAGCCUGUUCUAGAACCGAUAACCCCCGUUCAACCUCACCUUUCCUUGUUUUCCCCGCCUAUAUACCGCCGUCGUCAGCUCACCCUGUGAAGGUUUAAUAGUGAGCAAAAUUGGUACAACCCAAAACGUCAGGUCGAGGUGUAGCGUAUGGGAAGGGAAGAAAUGGGCUACAUUUCCUAAUUACAGGAAAUACGAACGAUGUACUGAAAUGUACAUCCGAAGGAGGAUUUAGCAGUAAGCAGGAAAUAGAGCGUCCCGCUGAAAUUGGCUCUGAAGCGCGU
rnacentral:rRNA from 1 species